UAAGUGCAGCUUCUAUUUCUGCAUUUAUUAUUCAUACAAAACACUUUGUGAUCAUCUGCAUCACAUUAGAGUGGAUCAGAGUGCAGUGAGGAUGGGGGACACUUUGCUCUGCAUGACGGGGUUUUUCUUUUGAACUUCAUGAUCUUUACUUUAGUGCUCAGUACAUUCUCCUAAACAAAUACUCAAGCUCUUUGGUAUCUGCUGUGCUGCUGCUUCACUCUCUCUCUUUACAGAAAGUUGUCGAAGUUUUCAGACGUGUCACUGCUGGAUGUGAGGAUGGGAGCCACUUUG